UGGGGAAUAUUGCACAAUGGGGGAAACCCUGAUGCAGCGACGCCGCGUGAACGAAGAAGGUAUUCGUAUCGUAAAGUUCUGUCCUAUGGGAAGAUAAUGACAGUACCAUAGAAGAAAGCUCCGGCUAAAUACGUGCCAGCAGCCGCGGUAAUACGUAUGGAGCGAGCGUUGUCCGGAAUUAUUGGGCGUAAAGGGUACGCAGGCGGUUUAAUAAGUCGAAUGUUAAAGAUCGGGGCUCAACCCCGUAAAGCAUUGGAAACUGAUAAACUUGAGUAGUGGAGAGGAAAGUGGAAUUCCUAGUGUAGUGGUGAAAUACGUAGAUAUUAGGAGGAAUACCAGUAGCGAAGGCGACUUUCUGGACACAAACUGACGCUGAGGUACGAAAGAGUGGGGAGCAAACAGG
rnacentral:rRNA from 2 species